rnacentral:lncRNA from 10 species
CCGCCCGCCAUGCCUGAGCCCCCACCCCCUCCCCGCCACCCCCAGCCCACUGCUGUGGACUCCUGCGCCGCCCGAGCCUCCUCGACGAGCACCGCCCCCUGCUCCAGGGCGCCCAGUCCCAUAGACCGCCCGAAGGCUGAGGACUGCUGGCGCAUGGCGCGGGACUGGCAGGCAGCUCCACCUGCGGCCCCUGUGCGGGAUCCACUGCGUGAAGCCAGCUGGGCUCCUGAGUAUGGUGGGGACUUGAAGUAUCUUUAUGUCUAGGUAAGGGAUUGUAAAUACACCAGUCAGCACUCUGUAUCUAGCUCAAGUUUUGUAAACACACCAAUCAGCACCCUGUGUCUAGCUCAGGGUUUGUGAAUGCACCAAUGGACACUGCAUCUAGCUAAUCUAGUGGGGAGGUGGAGAACUUUUGUGUCUAGCUCAGGGAUUGUAAAGCACCAAUCAGCACCCUGUUAAAACAGACCAAUCAGCUCUCUGUAAAAUGGACCAAUCAGCAGGAUGUGGGUGGGACCAGAUAAGAGAAUAAAAGCAGGCUGCCUGAGCUGGCGGUGGCAAUGCUUCCCUGUCUCCUUCUGUACUGUGGAAGCUUUGCUCUUUUACUCUGCAAUAAAUCUUGCUGCUGCUAACUGUUUGGGUCCACGCUACCUCUAUAAGCUGUAACACUCACCAUAAAGGUCUUACAGCUUCAUUCCUGAAGCCAGUGAGACCACGAACCCAGCAGGAGGAACGAACAACUCCAGACGCGCUGCCUUAAGAGCUGUUAACACUCACCGCAAGGUCUGCAGCUUCACUCCUGAAGCCAGAGAGACCACGAACCCAGCAGGAGGAAUGAACAACUCCAGAUGCGCCGCCUUAAGAGCUGUAACGCUCACCGCGAAGGUCUGCAGCCUCACUCCUGAGCCAGCGAGACCACGAACCCACCAGAAGGAAGAAACUCCGAACACAUCCGAACCUCGGAAGGAAGAAACUCCAAACACAUCCAAACAUCAGAAGGAACAAACUCUGCACACACCGCCUUUAAGAACUGUAACACUCACCACCAGGGUUCGCGGCUUCAUUCUUGAAGUCAGUGAGACCAAGAAGCCACCAAUUCCGGACACAAUAUGAAGUAAGUUUUCCUAUGUCUUUUAAAAAUAUAUAUUAAUAUAUUUAAUAAGAAUUUAUUACCUUUUCACUACCCUAUUUGGUACUAUUCUUAUUCAUUUUACUUUUUAUUUUUAAAAACUUUUGCAGUGGUAUGAUUGUAUAUGGAAAGGUCAAUGAAAAAAAUUCACUCUUCCUAAUCUGAAAUGGCAUGUUUAUUUUCAUUUAUUUAUUUUUACUGACAUGACCAUAUAAGGGUUAGUGAAAGAAAAUGUUCACUACUU